UGUUGUUGAUUGAAAAUGUACUUGAGGUACAUUUUCUAGUGUGACCCUAUAUUUAUAAAGAGUUAUGUUAUUUUUUUAUAAUAUUUAAAUGACCAAAUUUGGUAGGUUUUAUUUUUUUUACUAUUGGAACAAUAUGUGGGUGUAUUGAUUAUUAAAUAUAUUUUGAAAUCACGGUGACUGAUGUAACUGUCUCUUACUUGGGCCGUCCUUGGUAAUCACUAUAAAAUAAUAAAAAUGCAUAACAAUAUACCAUGUUAUUCUUAAAUAAUAGUUUUAUUAUGAUAUUUUGUGCCAUCAUUUUUAUGGAACACAUAAUGGAGUAAAUAUUAGCGAUAAAACUUCAAGCACAGUUUAUGAAAACGAAUUACUUUGUAGACCCAGAUCGAGACAGGUUAAAGUAGAAGAAGGGCACUGUUCUAAUAGACGUUUAUUAAAAAAUACGCUCAGAAAAUGUUAUGCCCAAUAUCAACUAAACUAUGAAGAUCAACUUAAUUUUGGCCUCAAAAAUGAAUCAUACUGGGUUUAUUACAAUGAAAGCAUAACUCAAGGAACAAAAUACAAUGGAAAAUUUGCAAAUUAUGGCGGUGGAGGAUUUUAUUUUGAUUUUCCAGAUAACAUAGACCAAGCUAAAGAGUUAAUCAAACAUUUACAACAUAAUCAUUGGCUAACUGAUGGAACAAGAGCAGUUUUUGUCGACUUUGUUAUUUUAAAUAAAGAUACUAAAAUUAUCUGCUC